GGUGUUGUGUGAUAAUGAAGUAUUUAUUUUUCUUUGAAAAACAUGUUUUCAAUGAACAAUAUGACUAAAGUUGAAGUGAAAAGACAUUUUAAAAUAAAAAUACACUGUUUUAGUGUGUCAGUACACCCUAUAGUACGAGUACUCCGACAAUAUGAAUCCAUAGAAAUCUUUUAAAAUCCAUUUGCAUUCUUGACUCCCAAAAGAGAAAUGAAAAUUUUGAAAAUAAGUGUGCGCAAACCAUCUAUGCCGACACUUUACCACAAUUUCUAGUUCAAAUGCAGGCACUUAAGAGCCUAAUUAUUUGUGUUAGAUUGCUUGCUCAAAGCUGCACUAAUUGAAAAAAAAUGACAUCAAUUGACGAAUUCGUUAUCCCAAAUAUUUUGAAAAGGAACGGAACCCUCUUUAGAGUCCGCAUCGGGAGUGACAACAUAACAAAUACUCGAACUCUGGGACUCAGUGAGAAGUUAUUUCGCAAAGGUUCGGAGGGAAGUUCAAAGGUCGAAGUGACUGUUUCUCAAUGUCCAUAAUUGCUCCUGAUAUGUUCCCUUAAGGCCUCAAGGUCAACAUUUAUGCCUACUUUUACGUACUAGGGACCAAGAUGUGCCCAGGAUCGACUCAAAUGGUUCCAAGACAAUUUUUAAGACUUUAUCUCGCCGGACUUUUGGCCUCCAAAUUCAUAAGAUCGUAAUCUAAUGUUUUGUGCGUGGGGCGUGAUCGAACAACAAACUAACCGAACCCCCUGAAACACCAAAGACGAACUCAUCACUCGGGGUAUAAAAAUUUGCUUAGAGAUCUAGUGGAGAAGGCCUGUUUACACUUUCGGCCUCGUAUAGAGACUGUAAUUGAGGCUGGAGGGGAUUUUAUCAAAUAAAAUAAUUUUGAAUCCAUCAAGAUUUCGGAAUUUAGUUUUAUUUUUUAAACUGAUUACCGGUUAGAGAAAAAAUUGCGGGAAAAAAAUCAUUUUCAUGACAGAUAACUUAUGCACCCUGUAAAUUGAAUUGAUAAUUUUUUCAAUAUAAUCAUCAAUAAUUGAGUAUGAAAUGUCACGAGUUUUUAACGAAGGUACUGUAUUUAUAUAAGUUAAUAUAAAAAUCAAACUCCUACUUACUUCUCUUUUUGAAAUCAAGUACAGUAUGUCAGCUGCUUUAAAUAAUACAAGAGUCAACUCAUUAAAACAGCUAAAAUGAAAAUACAUAGAAUCUUUGCUGUUUUUAAAAAGCUCAUACUGGGACAAACACACUCAAAGAGGGAAUGCACAAAAUUUACCAAAUUUCUUAUCAGCUGUUGAUCGUGUAUAUAGAACAUGAAUGUAUUUUGUUGAUUUUAUUCUUCACUUUAUUCUCUAAAGGGGAAAGCUGAACAUAAAUACUAGUAUAUUUAUAUUAUAAAAGGAACAGUACCUGGUGGAUGGAGAUAAUAUGUGAUUUUUUUCUCUUAUUUUUACAUGAGUAGAGACAUUUUUUAGUGUAGUUUAUGGGAGUAGCAAUGUAUGUAAAAGGGAAGAGAAAAUACUCAACUUCUUAUCAUCUUUAGAAUUAAAAGAUUUAUUCCACAAUGAGGAAGGAAAUUCUCUUGUGAAUCACGGAAGGGAAAUGACUGGGAAUAAAAAUCAAUACAUAGUUCUAUAAAUAUACUCUAUGUUCCAUAUUUAAAGUAAAAUAAGUGGAUCAAGUUUUGUCAUUGAUAGGGUCGUGUGAUGGCGACGUACCUUGAGAUUCAUUUUUGUUUAAAAAUAUAUCUUCGAUCAAGAACAUGACCGAAAUCAAAGUGAAAAGAAAAAUUGAAGCUGAAAUGUCCCAUUGAAAUCAGCAGGGAUUUUUCCAUCUACAGGAUAUCAGUUUAUGGAUUUUAAGUUGCUAUCAAAUUGGAAACAUGGAAAUAUUGCAAUAAAGCCUGCUCAAAGAAGAAAGAAAAUAUUCCUAUAAGGGCUGUCAUGAAGGCCAUCAAUGAUCAGAUUUUACAAAAUCCGAUCAUUAUAAUUAAAGAGAUAAGUAGGUACAUGGGUAUGUCAGCAACAUCCAUGAAGUAGAUCAUAAGAGUGGAUUUUGGACCUAUGCUAAGGGCUAGAAGGAAAACACAUUUUACUAAUGGUAAUACAAAAGAGAACAGACUCGCCAGAUCAAAAUGUGUUGUCAAUGUCAUGAAGCAAGCUUACCAAUGAUUUCGUUUUCGCCGAGAAGAUAUUCAGAGUUGAACGAGUCUCCUAGAGCCCGACAGAUAGGUAUAUAAGCACCAAGUAGCCGUAUGAC
rnacentral:lncRNA from 1 species